rnacentral:rRNA from 1 species
AGCGAACGCUGGCGGCAGGCCUAACACAUGCAAGUCGAACGGAUCCUUCGGGAUUAGUGGCGGACGGGUGCGUAACACGUGGGAACGUGCCCUUUGGUUCGGAACAACUCAGGGAAACUUGAGCUAAUACCGGAUGUGCCCUUCGGGGGAAAGAUUUAUCGCCAUUGGAGCGGCCCGCGUCUGAUUAGCUAGUUGGUGAGGUAACGGCCCACCAAGGCGACGAUCAGUAGCUGGUCUGAGAGGAUGAUCAGCCACACUGGGACUGAGACACGGCCCAGACUCCUACGGGAGGCAGCAGUGGGGAAUCUUGCGCAAUGGGCGAAAGCCUGACGCAGCCAUGCCGCGUGAAUGAUGAAGGUCUUAGGAUUGUAAAAUUCUUUCAGCGGGGACGAUAAUGACGGUACCCGCAGAAGAAGCGCCGGCUAACUUCGUG